UGAAAGAUUACUAACCAAUGGUGAGCAUAUUAGCAGGUGCAUUUACAAGCUCCUUUUCCAAAUAUUAUCUGAGAACAAUAAUCCACUGCACAUUUGAAGAUUAAAUAAAGUUUUUUAAAAAAAAAGUACCAGUGGCUAUUGCUGAAGCAGUGGCUUAAAGAUUCAAAUUCAAAAAUAAACUGAUAGUUUGCACCAGAUUUCCAAAACACCAGUGGAACAAAUAGCACCAUUUUAUGGGCAUUUGCAGUGUCGAAAAUGAAAUAGAGGCCAUUUUAUAAAUAGAUGCAAAUAGAGAGAUAGGAAGAGAAAGAGAAAGGAACCUUACACCAAAAACAGAUUUCCUUUAGCUAUGAAGCCCCAAAACCACUUGAAGAGAAAAAAUCAGCACAAAAAAAUUAGUCCUAAUAUAUAAUUUAUGCAAAACACUUUGAGAUUUUAGAUUGCGCUUAAAUCCAAAAAGCACACAAUUUUCACCAGAGGGGGUUUCUUAAAGAGCUUUUUUAAGUCACUCUACAUCAAAGUUUAAAUUUUAGUAGUAUAAAUAUGAAAUGAUAGCAUCAAAAUGAAGAACAUUAAAGUAAAUGACAAACACAUUUACCUGGACAGCAUCAUGAAGGUGGUCAUCUCUUUUUCUUCCAACAAACCAAUCUUCUCAAGAAAAUGAUGACACUCAACCAAAUGAUUCAAUACAGAGUAAGUGACUUGUCUAGUUUUCCCAACACAUGGUACCUUGUUUGAAAUUAUUAGGCAAGUCAAAAUAAUGGAUCAAUAAUAUACUCUUCUUCUGCAGCCUAAUCCAAAGGGAAUAUAUUUGAAGCAACGUUCACUGUGAAAAAUAGAGUUAAGUAAUCUACUGAUGCUCACCAGCCAAAAACCACCAGCGACAUGGAUAAUCAGACUUUAGGCUUGACUCAAGCUCCUCUGCUUUCUUUAUAGCACAUUCUCUAUCUUCAUCUUAUGCAUAUGCAAGAUUCGAGAGGUUCCGGAUCCAAUUGGUAACUCUACAAAUGCAUUAACCCAAUAAAGAACACUGUUCUACACAAUAAUUACAUUGUUAACAAAUUAAAUUAAUGUGCUAGAAAUUUUUAAAAACCAUUUGCAAGGAGUUUACCAUCUGGCAGAGUUAGAAAAAGGCCUAAAAGGAGAGCCACAGUACUUUGUAAGUCAAAUAAGACCACGAAAGAGAGAUACUAGUGUGGGUUUGGGAUAAGAGGAGUUUUUGAGGACUAUAGAAGUCUUUUCCUGUUCUCUUCCAAUCUUUGCUCGCGUAAGGCCUCAUAUUUCACUUUGGACAUCAACAUUUUUGCUUUUUUCCUUUUCGAUUCUGUAGAUUUAAAGAGAGUUGGAGAAGCUAGACAAGCAAUCUUUACUUCUCCUUUACUGGGAGUAGGUCGAUGGCCGGAGUGACGCACUGUUGCGCAGAUGGUGGACGCGGCAUGGCAACAAAGCAGUUAGGGUUGAAAAAAGGGUCGGCACGUUUUGAUUUAUGAACAAGUGAAGGGAAGAGAAGAAGAAGAAAAGCAGCCUAACUACCUAAGGGAGUGGCCAUUGCAAUCGCCUGUCCGGUUGGAGCAGAGAGGCGAGGCCGCGAUAGGCAACUGUGAGAGGAGAGGCAAGCUGGAGUCGGU
rnacentral:lncRNA from 1 species